CAACCCGCUCGGUCCCCUUCCACACCAUGGAAGUUUUGUUCUUUCGCUGUAUGCAAUAAAUCUUGCUGCUGCUCACUUUUUGGGUCCACGCUGCCUUUAUGAGCUAUAACACUCACCACGAAGGUCUGCAGCUUCACUCCCGAAGCCAGCGAGACCACGAACCCACCGGGAGGAAGGAGCAACUCCAGACGCGCCACCUUAAGAGCUGUAACACUCACCGCGAAGGUCCGCAGCUUCACUCCUGAGCCAGCGAGACCGCGAACCCCACCAAAAGGAAGAAACUCCGAACACAUCUGAAGCACUGUAUAGGAUGUCUGAUUACCGUGAGAGCAUGAGCUGUGCUGAAUCUCCAGCUAGCCACAAUGAAAAGCCUUUUGGAGAGAGAAUGUCCAGUCAACCUCCCAGCUGUUCCAGCCUUUCCAACAGAGGUAUCAAACAGGGUCUUGCUAUGUCAACUAUGCAGGAGUGCAGUGGCAUGAUCCCAGCUCACUGCAUCCUUGAACUCCUGGGCUCCUCUGAUCCUCCCACCUCAUCUUCCCAAAUCGAGAUUCUACCUGGUAUCACCUCCCUUCAAUCUGAAGAACAUGCUUUAGCAUUUCUUGUAGUGCAAGUAUACAACUUUAAUUUGUCUGAAAAAAAUCCCAUCACCCUCAUUUUUAAAGAAAACUUUCAGUGAGUACAGGAUUGAAUUCUUUGUUGACACAUUCGAUCAUUUUGUUGAUCUCAAAGUUUACUUACUCUUCUGUCAUCUCCAACGUACUAUUAAUCUUAUCCAGUGAAUUUUUAAAAAUGUAUUAUAGUUUUUCAUUCUGAAUUUAUUUUAUUUGGUUCAUUUUUAUAGGUACUAUUUCUCUGCCUAGGACCCUUAUUAAUUCACUCAUUAAGAUUAUAUUUAAUUUUUUCUUUAUUUUUUUUUACUUCUUUAAACCUUUUUAUAACACGUUUUUAGAUCUUUAUCAGCUAAAUAUAUUUCAGAUAUCUUAGGGUCCAUUUCUGUUGACUGCUUUUGUUCUUGAUGAGUGUCACAUUUUCCUGUUUAUUUGCAUGUCUUGCCAUAUUUUAUGGUAUAUUGGGCAUUCUUGAUUUGUGGAGAUUCUAGAUUCUAGUAACUUUCUCUGAAGUACAUUUAUUUUUGCUUUAAUAGGUAUUUCAGUUUUUGGCAUGUCGCCUUAAACUUGUGUAGCCUUGUCUUUGAGCUUUUUAAAGGGUAGAAGUGUAGAAAUAGUGUUUUCUCUAAUAUCCUUUAACUUUAGAGGAUUCCCAACCAUUUUCUCCCCAUAACAUUUUACCAGAAGUUUUUUUUUUUCUUCCAUAAGUGUGUGUGUGUGUGUGUGUGUGUGUGUGUGUGUGUAUGGGUGUGUGUGUGUUUAAGGAGGAUCUAGAGUAGGCCCUAUUGUAGGGUGUGGUUCAUACUUCUAAGGUACAGCCUUCUGGUAUUUCAUUUAGAUGUCUGUGAUGUUAACAUGUUAACAAAGUCUCAGUUGAAUUAGAUCUCUGAUAUUUCCAAUCCCAUCCCAAUAGCAGAUACUUCCUAGUAAGCCUCAUUUAGUUGUACCUUGCAUGUGCUCAGCACAACCCUUGCUCAAGGUUUCAUGAAGACCCUUCACAUACAGUUCUCAGACCCUCACACAUCCAGUGUCCUCCUCUCCACUUUGUUCCCGAUAGAUUAGAGCUAUGUUAGCUCCCCCAAACCCUAUGACUGCUUUUGCAGCUCUACAGGAACAACAGGCUCUGAGCCUGGCAUCCAGCUCACUGUGCUGCAGCUAUGUAACUUUUCCUAGGCAGUUAUGAUGCCCAUUUGUAAUAUUGUCUUCUUUCAGUGAUCUGUGUGUUAUACUAUCUACUGCCUAUGAUACUUUCCUAAACAAUUUUUCUCAGUUGUUUUUCCUGGUGUGUUUUAUACUAGGAGAUUUCAAUGAGGUACUAAAAAGAAAAUCUCUGCUUUAAUUUUUACAUUCAUAUUCUCAAUCCAUUGAGAAUAUAUUCUUGUGUGUAAUAUAAAAAAGAAUAAUUUUUCUGCUAUCUUUUUGUUUUGGUAUAAUUUUAAGCUUUCAGACAUUUGUAUAUUAUUAGUUUUUUUAAAAAUAGUUGUUUAUCACAGAACAACUUAAAGUAAUUCUUUUUUACUAUUUAUUUAACAUGUUGCCUUUUUAUGAUUUAUUUCCAUACAAAAUUGAAUCAAUAUCUGGAUUUCUAUUCUGUUCCUUUAUAUACCAUGUCACAGUGUUUGAAUAGUGGUAAGACCUUCUCCCUUCUCAUUGUUGUUCUUUUUUUGCAGUAUUUUUCUAGCUAUUCUUGCCUUGGUUGUUCCUCCACGUGAACCUAAUAAUCACUUUGUUUUGCUGUAGUAAAUAAGAAACACAGUGAUGUUUUUAAUUUAGAGAACAAAAUUUAUAAAUAAUAAACUAUAAUUAUAUAUAUUUAUUAUAAGUUAAUGUGGAGAAUGUUUAACAUCUUUAUAACUUUAAGUCUUUUGUCAAAAAAAUGGUAAUUUUUUUCAUUUUACAAAAUGUAUUAUCUUGUGUAUGUUUUUUCAAUAUUUUAGAGUUUCUUUUUGUAAGUUUUAGAUUUUUUCAAUGUAUACAUGACAUUUUAUCUUACCUCUAAAAAUUUUUGCCAUUGCAAAUGGGGUCUGCUCUUCAUUAUGUAUUCUGUUUUUUUUAAUAUACAUGAGGGCUAUUAAUAUUUGUAUGUUGAUCUUAUAAAUGAAUUCAUUAAAUUCUCUUGCUGAUUUUAGUUUUUCCACAUAUUCUUUUAAAUUUUCCACCUAUAACAAUAUAAUUUUCAAAUAAAUAUAUUUGUUUUAAUUAUUAGGACUCUACUUGCUUUCUUUUGCCUAUUGUAUUGGCUAAUAGAGUAAUACAGUAAUAGUGAAGAUGGCAGCAUCUAUGUCUAAUUCCUAACUUUAACACAGUUAUUUUUUAAAACUCUUGUUAAAUUUCUGUUAUUAUUUUUAAAUGCAUAGUCUACCUCUGCAGGAAAUAAAAAUGAUGACAAAUAUUUGGUUUUCUUUAAUGACGUGGGGUCUAAGCUCCCUUCCUUUGAACCUAAACUAUUAUAUGACUGCUUUGGCUAAUUGAUUACAAUAGAAAUAAUGUUUUAUCAGUUUCUAGGCUUAGUAUUUUAGAGGAUGGCAGUUCUAAGCCACAGUGAAGAAAAUGUAGUUACUUUCCUGGGGAGAAUGCCUAGAGAGGUACAGGAAAUGAAUGGCACCCGGGUGAUUCGCUGUCAAUCUUCUUUAUGGCAAUAUACCAGUUAUAUGAGUGAAAUUGUCAUAAUAUCUUCCAGACCAGCCCAGAUAUGAGAUGAAUACUCUGAGUGAUCAUAGUCAAUGAUAUGAAGAAUUGAUAUAUUCUCCAACAAAGUCCUGCACUAUAUUUCUGAC
rnacentral:lncRNA from 10 species